CGGCGUCGUUAUAUAGAAAAAAUUAAAGAAACGGGUUGAUGAGUGUCCUUUCAGUCUGGCUCCAUCAAAGUCGACGAACGACCCCACCUAAUGGCCGGAGGUGUCAUAUCCUGACAUAUAAAACUACCUUAUUGAAUCUCCAGAAAACUAGGGAUUUGCACGGCAAGUCAAAUGAAGAACUACAAAUCCCUGGAAGCACAUAAGUUCUUCACCAGUGGCUGGGUGGAUGUGGUGGUACUGCACCAUAAACCCUCUGCUGACAUUACAGUUUUCAAGACCCAGGUCAAGCCAUCGUGGAGGGUAACCAAUAAAUCCCACAACACUUGGGUUGCUGCUAAGAGGACUGGAGAGAUUAAAGCGGCUCACUGUGAUUGCAUGGCAGGACUGGGAGAAAGUUGUUACCAUGUUGGGGCACUCCUUUUUAAGUCAGAGGCAUCUGUCCGCCUUGGCUACACAAGUAUGACAGCAACCACCAUCGCCUGUGCCUGGAACAAAGUCUGUACCAAAAAGGUUGAGGGAGACAUGGUGAAGGACAUUAAGUUCUACACAGACAAAGCAAAAAGAAAGAGGGGAGUCGGAAAAAAGUGGAGGGCAGUUCCGAAGGCAAAAGAAGAACAUCAACAGUUCCUUGAAAUGUUGUCUGCCACUGGAGAACUGCCCGUUGGUCUCAGCACUUUUAAGGGAUAUGCAGACUCUUUCAGGCCAAAGCCAUGGUUUGAAAAUCUCUUAAGGUUUUCUGAUGACCAAGUAUAGGCAAUAGAAGAAGAAACCAAAGACCAGGUAGAAUGUUCAUCUUGGCACCAGCAAAGAAUUGGGAGGGUGACGGGCACAUCCGCGCACAGGGUACUACACACGUCUCUUGAGAAGGCAUCAAAAGCACUGCUGAGAGAGAUUGUGCAGAAAAUGUCUCUGCAAAACCGGCUGACAACUCCAGACAUUGUUUGGGGUAGGGAUCAUGAAAAGGAGGCCAUCAAAACUUAUAAGUAUGCCCUAGGCCUAAAGACCACAUGCACAGCACAAACUUCAAUCACCAUAUCAAAUGAGGUAUAUACAGCCCACAAGAGCCUCAAUAUUCUAAGGGCAGGCUUCCAAGUGUGCAAAGACAAGUCCUACAUUGUUGUAAGCUGUGAUGCAUACAUAACCUGUGAUUGCUGUGGGAAAGGAGUGGUUGAGGCAAAGUGUCCCUUGAAGUGGGCCAGUGAUGUUUCACCUGAUCACUGGCCCGCAGACAUGGACAUCUGGACACAAAUAGUUUGCCAGUCUGCCGCAAAUAAAUAUACUUGCCAAUAUGAAUCCGAACUUUGAUUUCAUUCUGGACUCUUCAACGUCUUUGCCUGGGAGUUGUUUCCUGCUGUGAGUGAAGGCUGGGGUUUGGGAGACUGGCACCAAGCAAGGCAAAGUCGUCUUUAAGGGCAAAACCCCGAUCAGCCAAAAUCUGAA